rnacentral:rRNA from 1 species
AGUGCAGAAGAGGAGAGUGGAAUUCCACGUGUAGCGGUGAAAUGCGUAGAGAUGUGGAGGAACACCAGUGGCGAAGGCGACUCUCUGGUCUGUAACUGACGCUGAGGAGCGAAAGCGUGGGGAGCGAACAGGAUUAGAUACCCUGGUAGUCCACGCCGUAAACGAUGAGUGCUAAGUGUUAGGGGGUUUCCGCCCCUUAGUGCUGCAGCUAACGCAUUAAGCACUCCGCCUGGGGAGUACGGUCGCAAGACUGAAACUCAAAGGAAUUGACGGGGGCCCGCACAAGCGGUGGAGCAUGUGGUUUAAUUCGAAGCAACGCGAAGAACCUUACCAGGUCUUGACAUCCUCUGACAAUCCUAGAGAUAGGACGUCCCCUUCGGGGGCAGAGUGACAGGUGGUGCAUGGUUGUCGUCAGCUCGUGUCGUGAGAUGUUGGGUUAAGUCCCGCAACGAGCGCAACCCUUGAUCUUAGUUGCCAGCAUUCAGUUGGGCACUCUAAGGUGACUGCCGGUGACAAACCGGAGGAAGGUGGGGAUGACGUCAAAUCAUCAUGCCCCUUAUGACCUGGGCUACACACGUGCUACAAUGGACAGAACAAAGGGCAGCGAAACCGCGAGGUUAAGCCAAUCCCACAAAUCUGUUCUCAGUUCGGAUCGCAGUCUGCAACUCGACUGCGUGAAGCUGGAAUCGCUAGUAAUCGCGGUUCA